rnacentral:rRNA from 1 species
GACGAACGCUGGCGGCGUGCUUAACACAUGCAAGUCGAACGGUGAGGCGCCUUCCUUUUUGGUCGGUGUGGAUGAGUGGCCAACGGGUGAGUAACACGUGAGUAACCUGCCCCCUUCUUCUGGAUAACCGCAUGACAGUGUGGCUACUACAGGAUAUUCUGGGUCUGUCGCAUGAUGGGUCUGGGACGGAUAUUGUUUCGCUGGGGGAUGGGGUCGCGGCCUAUCAGCUUGUUGGUGGGGUGAUGGCCUACCAAGGCGGUGACGCGUAGCCGGCCUGAGAGGGUCGACGGCCCUAGUGGGACGGCGCGGCCGCGAAGACUACUAGGGGAGGCAGCAGGGGAGAAUACGGCACAAUGGGCGCAAGGAUGAUGCAGCGACGCCGCGGGAGUGAUGGAGGCCGUCGCGUUGAGAACCGCUUUCGCGAGUGAAGCAGUGCGGCCGCGUUUGUGCGUGGGUUGACGGUAGCUGGAUAAGAAGCGCCGGCUAACUACGUG